GGAUUAGGCAUGCAAGUCGUGCGCGAUAAGUUUGGUGCUUGCAUUAAACUUUGAAAGCGGCGAAAGGGAGAGUAACGCGUGGAUCAUCUACCCUCGGGUCUGGGAUAGCUGCGGGAAACUGCAGGUAAUACCGGAUGAUGUCCCUGGACCAAAGGUGUAAUUCCGCCUGAGGAUGAGUCCGCGUCCUAUUAGUUAGUUGGUGGGGUAAUGGCCCACCAAGACAAAGAUGGGUACCGGGUGUGAGAGCAUGGCCCGGCUCACUGGGACUGAGACACUGCCCAGACACCUACGGGUGGCUGCAGUCGAGAAUCUUCCGCAAUGGACGAAAGUCUGACGGAGCGACGCCGCGUGCGGGAUGAAGGCCUUCGGGUUGUAAACCGCUGUCAGUUGGGAGGAAAUACAUAAGGGUUCUCUCUUAUGUUUGACCGAUCUUCAGAGGAAGUCCGGGCUAAGUUCGUGCCAGCAGCCGCGGUAAUA
rnacentral:rRNA from 1 species